AUCCAGCUGACGAGUCCCAAAUAGGACGAAACGAGCGUCCACUGU
rnacentral:hammerhead_ribozyme from 1 species